rnacentral:misc_RNA from 1 species
GAUGAAGAACGUAGCGAAAUGCGAUAAGAAAUGUGAAUUGCAGAAUUCAGUGAAUCAUCGAAUCUUUGAACGCACAUUGCGCCCGCCAGUAUUCUGGCGGGCAUGCCUGUUCGAGCGUCAUUUCAACCAUCAAGCCCCCGGCUUGUGUUGGGGACCUGCGGCUGCCGCAGGCCCUGAAAUGCAGUGGCGGGCUCGCUGUCACUCCGAGCGUAGUAGUUACAUCUCGCUCUGGGCGUGCUGCGGGUUCCGGCCGUUAAAAGCCUUAUUUACCCAAGGUUGACCUCGGAUCAGGUAGGAAGACCCGCUGAACUUAAGCAUAUCAAUAAGCGGAGGA